rfam:Prunus persica cultivar Lovell chromosome G6, whole genome shotgun sequence.
AGGCGAUGAAGAUGAAAACAUUUCUCGAUUCUGAGUAUAUAUUUAUAUAUACAUGGACCAACCAUUGGCAUAGUAUUCGUAUUAUGUACGGAUGCUUUGCUACUUGAUGACAGUGUUUGUGCGUGUCUGAGCCUU